rnacentral:rRNA from 1 species
UGCUAAGGCUAAAUACUACCUAACGACCGAUAGUGAACCAGUACCGUGAGGGAAAGGUGAAAAGCACCCCGGGAGGGGAGUGAAAUAGUACCUGAAACCGUGUGCUUACAAAUAGUCGGAGCACUUUUUAUGUGUGACGGCGUGCCUUUUGUAGAAUGAACCGGCGAGUUACGAUAGCGUGCGAGGUUAAGUCGAAGAGACGGAGCCG